rnacentral:rRNA from 1 species
UACGGAGGGUGCGAGCGUUAAUCGGAAUUACUGGGCGUAAAGCGUACGUAGGCGGUUGGGUAAGUCGGAUGUGAAAGCCCCGGGCUUAACCUGGGAACUGCAUUCGAUACUGCUCGGCUAGAGAAUGGGAGAGGGAAGCGGAAUUUCCGGUGUAGCGGUGAAAUGCGUAGAUAUCGGAAGGAACACCAAUGGCGAAGGCAGCGUCCUGGCCCAAUACUGACGCUCAGGUGCGAAAGCGUGGGGAUCAAACAUG